GCCAAGUUGGCGGAGUGGUUAAGGCGGGGGUCCGCCGACAGACCGGGUGUAGGGGUUGAGGUUUUCCUCUGGGGCGAAAUCUCCGCGCGAGUUCGAAUCUUGCACUUGGCA